ensembl:lncRNA EPIC1 epigenetically induced MYC interacting lncRNA 1
GGGAGGGGCCAGCUGCUGUGUUCAGUCCGCCAUUGCAAACACGAAGCUCUUCCAGAAACGCCCUCACAGACACCCCGGAAGUCACGUACCCACUCUGUAGGUGCCCCGGGGCACAGGCAAGCGGACGAGCCAGUUAUCCCUCAGAGCUCCUGCUGCCUCGCCCGCUUUCUCUCGGAAACGUGAAGUGUGGCCUCAGCUGAAAGUGAGGUGGGCCUCAUUCAAUCAGUUGAAUUCUUCAAGAGAGAAAAACUGAAGUCCCUUAGAAGGAAAGAGUUCUGCCUUCAGACUGUCUUUGAACUUAAGACUGUAGCGUCGACUCCUGCCGGAAUUUCCAGCCUGCUGGCCAGCUCUGCAGAUUCACACUUGCCAGCCUCCACAAUCGCAGCUGAGGCGGAGGAACCCUAAGGGCUCAUUGAGAUCAUGGAUUUGCCCUUCUAUGCAUUGAUGGAGCACCUGCUGCCCACAGCGUCUGUAUUUGGUGCUGGGAUGCUGAGGACACUGAGAUCUUCAAACAGAGGCUGCCACUCUAAGCAAACAGAUCCCGAGCCCUGGACUCUGAAGCUUGGGCCCAGUUCUCCUUUUCUCCGGGUUUCAGAUCCCACUGUGAAGUGAGGGGGCCCUUCUGAUUCAGGACCCGGGGAAGCCAGGGGCAUGAGCAUCGGUGCCUCUUCUCUAUUUCAAGGACCCUUCUGGGUGUAAAGUUCUCUGAGAUGCCUUACAUGGAUUCCCACCACUGCAAGAUAACCAUCGUAUGUAAAGUGUUAUGACCAGCAGAGCGUAAUUGAAGUGCAUUCCAGAGGGAAAGACAGCGGCUCAGUAAAUCAAAGGUUUCGCCAUCAUGUAAACCCUUGGGCGACAGAGUCUACCUGUCUCCCCCUGAUAUUGUUCUAUGAGAUUUCGAUGCUAUCUUCAUUGCCAGCAGCCCUGACAAAGAUGCACUGCAGACGGAUAGCCUCUCAGGCUGGAGUGCAGCAGGCUGGGCAUGGCUGCCUUCCUUCCUCACAUCCCCAUGCUCUGGAAAGCCCUCAGAGGACCUGGGUCUCACCUCCACAGUCCCGUGGCUCCCUGCCCCUGCAGGCUGGACUCGCCCCUGGGCUUGGACCACCUCCAGCCAGACUCCAGUGGUGUGAUAGAGAGGGCUCAGGAUAGGGGGUUCUGCGAACUGACUCAUCACCCCCAAGCAAGUGAUAACCUCACUAAGGCUCAGUCCUAAUAAUCCUGCUAUAUUAACAACCUCUAUACUUUUGAAACUGACCCCUAGUCCCAUAAACAGUUUUUUGUUUUUGUUUUGAUAAACAUAGAAAUGGAUGCUUCUGGUCUUAAAGCUUGAAACUUGUAUUUGUUUUAUGAGUUCCUUUUUCAGGAAAGGGCCCCCAGGCCUCUCAAAAGCAUCAAAGAACUGAAACUCACUAGAUCAUCUCAUCCAGACAGUGAGAUGUCAGACCCUUCAUUCACCCUGAUUGCUUCCUUACCCCUCUGAGCUCCUCUUUUCCCAUACAUUGUUACAUUUCUUCCCUGCUAUAUAAACCCCUAAUUUUAGCUGGUCAUUGAGAUGGAUUUGAGAAUCUCCUGGGCUGCAGCACCAAUAAAGCUUUCUUCCUUGGUGAUA